AGCAGCCGCGGUAAUUCCAGCUCCAAUAGCGUAUAUUAAAGUUGUUGCAGUUAGAAAGCUCGUAGUUGAACUUCGGGGUUUACUCAUUGGUCAGGCUUAAUUGUCUGUACUGGUGAGAUAAAUCUCUACCUUCUGAGGAACUUUCAUGCCAUUUAUUUGGUGUGAUUGGAAAUCAGGACUGUUACUUUGAAAAAUUAGAGUGUUUAAAGCAGGCUAACGUCUGAAUACAUUAGCAUGGAAUAAUGAAAUAGGACGGAUUGAUUCUAUUUCGUUGGUUUCUAGGGUCACCGUAAUGAUUAAUAGGGAUAGUUGGGGGCAUUAGUAUUCAAUUGUCAGAGGUGAAAUUCUUGGAUUUAUUGAAGACUAACUACCGCGAAAGCAUUUGCCAAGGAUGUUUUCGUUAAUCAAGAACGAAAGUUAGGGGAUCGAAGACGAUCAGAUACCGUCGUAGUCUUAACCAUAAACUAUGCCGACUAGGGAUCGGACGCAGUUAAUUUUAUAAUGACGUGUUCGGCACCUU
rnacentral:misc_RNA from 2 species